AAGCUGUCUCUAUGCAGUCAGCAGACUUCGGAAUGUUGGAUACCCAAUCAAUAUUUGGAUGCCAUGGAGUUACUAUGCUACUCAGCUGACCAGAGUUAAAAACAAGAUACCAAGAGACUACCUUUGGUGAGGGUGAUCUGGCCACAGUUUUUUACUCAGUUGAUCAUACAGUCUUAUUCCAGGACAACUCUGCCUGCAAUAGGCUUUGUGACCCAUCCAGCUUCCUUGGAAAGUAAGGACAAAGGGCAAUAAAGCCAGACCAGCCUUCUGAACCAGCCUGCCUUUCAGCAUCUGUGCUACAUAGAAUCUUCAGAUAUGAAGAUUGGGAUACUUGCGGAGGUUCAUUCAUGUGGCUGCAGAUGACUUUGUUUCAUUCUUCUUUAUGGGUUAGUAAUGUUCUAUUGCAUAUAUGUACCACAUUUUCUUUAUCCAUCCAUUUGUUAAAGGACAUUUAGAUUGCUUCCAUGUCUUGGCUACUGUAAAUGGUGCUGCUAUGAACAUGUAUCUCUUCAAGUUAGAGUUUUUCUCUGGAUAUAUGUUCAAGAGUGGGACUGCAGGAUCAUACGGUAAUUCUAUUUUUAGUUUUUGAAAGAACUUCCAUAUUCCUCUUCAUAAGGGCUGCACCAGCUUACAUUCCAACCAACAGUGUUGUAGACUCCUUUCUCUCUACACCCUCUUGAGAUAGGUACCUUUAUUAUUCCUCUUUCACCUCUAAUACCUCAGUGAAGACACUGAGGCUCAGAGAGGUUAAGCAAUUUGCAUAGGGUCACAGAGUUCACAUGAGAGCCUGGAUUGUAAUCUAGGUUUAUCUAUCUCUGAAGUCUGGGGUUAUAACCACCAUUCCAUGCUUUGCUGCCAGUUGGCAGAAUAGCCUGGAGUCCAAGAGAGGGGUUAAGCUUAGAGCUGUAAUUACAGGGAAAAUUUCUUAGAAGGUAACAAAGGGAACAAAGAAAGAGCCAAUCUCUGGCAGCAUCACUAAAAAAGGAAAGGACUGAGCAGCAGAUAAAAAACCCAGAUUAAAAAACAAGAUAAAAAACCCAGGUUUUUUUUUUAUGGGAGAAAGAUGUUCUACUAUUGCUUAAUUUGAGGACAGAAAAAGGAAAAAACUGUAUAUCUGAGGCUGUGGUAAAGAAAAGAAUAAUAAAGGACACAGAAAACAGAUCAAAAAGGAAAAAAUACUUUAAAAAUUACUUUCAGCACCCAUCUAUGAUAGCAACUCUUCAAAAAAUGGGCAUAGAAGGAAUCUACCUCAACAUAAUAAAGGCCAUAUAUAAUAAACCCACAGCAAACAUUAUUCUCAAUGGUGAAAAACAAAGCAUUUCCUCUAAGAUCAGGAACAAGACAAGGGUGUCCAGUCUCACCACAAUUAUUCAACAUAGUUUUGGAAGUCCGAGCUGUGGCAAUCAGAGAACAAAAAGAAAUAAAACAAAUCUAGACUGGAAAAGAAGUAAAACUCUCACUGUUUGCAGACAACAUGAUACUAUACACAGAAAAUCCUAAAGAUACUAUCAGAAAAUUACUAAAGCUAAUCAGUGAAUUCUGAAUUUAGUAAAGUUGCAGGAUACAAAAUCAAUAUGCAGAAAUCACUUGCAUUCCUAUACACUAACAGUGAAAAAUCAGAAAGAAAAAUUAAGGAAUUAAUCCCACUUAUCAUUGCAAUAGAAAGAAUAAAAUAUCUAGGAAUAAACCUACCUAAGGAGACAAAAGAACUGUACAGAGAAAGCUAUAGGACCCUGAUGAAAGAAGUCAAAGAUAAUAUAAUGUCUUUGAUGAAGAGAUAUUCCAUGUUCCUGGGUUGGAAGGAUCAAUAUUGUAAAAAUGACUAUACUACCAGAUGCAAUCUACAGAUUCAGAGCAAUCCCUAACAAAUCACCAAUGGCAUUUUUCAUAGAACUAAAACAAAAAUUUUCAUGAUUUGUAAUGAAACACAAAAGAUCCUGCAUAGCCAAAGCAAUCUUGAGAAAGAAUGGAGCUGGAGGAAUCAACCUUCUUGUCUUCAGACUAUACCACAAAGCUACAGUCAUCAAGACAGUAUAGUAUUGGCACAAAAACAAAAAUAUAAAUCAAUGGAAGAAGAUAAAAAACUCAGAGAUAAACCCACACACCUAUGGACACUUUAUCUUUGACAAAGGAGGCAGGAAUAUAAAAUGGAGUACAGAUAAUCUCUUCAGUAAGUGGUGCCAGGAAAACUGGGCAGCUACAUGUAAAAGAAUGAAACUAGAACACUUCCUAAUACCAUACGCGAAAAUAAACUCAAAGUGGAUUAAAGACCUGAAUGUAAGACCAGAAACUAUAAAACUCUUAGAGGAAAACAUAGGCAAAAUACUCUAAGAUAUAAAUCACAGCAAGAUCCUCUAUGACCUACCUCCUAGAGUAGUGGAAAUAAAAACAAAAAUAAACAAGUGGGACCUAAUUAAACUUAAAAGCUUUUGCACAGUGAAGGGAACUAUAAACAAGGUGAAAAGACAGCCCUCAGACUGGGAGAAUAUAAUAGCAAAGGAAACAACUGAAAAAGGAUUAAUUUCCAAAAUAUACCAGCAGCUCAUGAAUGUUUAAACUACUGCACAAUUGUACUCAUCUCACACGCUAGCAAAGUAAUGCUCAAAAUCCUCCAAGCCAGGCUUCAACAGUAUGUGAACCGGGAACUUCCAGAUGUUCAAGCUGGAUUUAGAAAAGGCAGAAGAACCAGAGAUCAAAUUGCCAACAUCUGUUGGACCAUCAAAAAAGCAAGAGAGUUCCAGAAAAAACAUCUACUUCUGCUUUAUCAACUACACCAAAGCCUUUGACUGCAUGGAUCAGAGUCAAAACUGUGGAAAAUUUUUCAAGAAAUGGAAAUACCAGACUACCUCACCUGCUUCCUGAUAAAAUCUGUGUGCAGGUCAAGAAGAAACAGUUAGAACUGGACAUGGAACAACAGACUGGUUCCAAAUAGGAAAAGGAGUAUGUCAAGGCUGUAUAUUGUCACCCUGCUUAUUUAACUUAUAUGCAGAGUACCUCAUGAGAAACACUGGGCUGGAUGAAGCACAAGCUGGAAUCAAGAUUGCCAGGAGAAAUAUCAAUAACCUCAGAUAGGCAGAUGAUACCACCCUUAUGGCAGAAAUUGAAGAACUAAAGAGCCUCUUGAUGAAAGUGAAAGAGGAGAGUGAAAAAGGUGGCUUAAAAUUCAACAUUCAGAAAACUAAGAUCAUGGCAUCUGGUCCCAUCACUUCAUGGCAAAUAGAGGGGGAAAGAAUGGCUUACUUU
ensembl:lncRNA